rnacentral:rRNA from 1 species
GACGAACGCUGGCGGCGUGCUUAACACAUGCAAGUCGAACGGAAAGGCCCUGCUUGUGUGGUGUGCUCGAGUGGCGAACGGGGGAGCAACACGGGGGUAACCAGCCCUGGACUUUGGGAUAACUUCAGGAAACUGGGGCUAAUACCGGAUAUGAUCUCCCGCUGCAUGGUGUGGGGUGGAAAGGUUCGGUGGUUGGGGAUGGACUGGCGGCGUAUGAGCUUGUUGGUGGGGUAGUGGCUUACCAAGGCUUUGACGGGUAGCCGGCCUGAGAGGGUGACCGGCCACAUUGGGACUGGGGUGGGGCCCAGACUGCUACGGGAGGCAGCGGUGGGAAAUAUUGCACGAUGGGCGGCGGCCUGAUGCAGCAACGUCGCGUGCGGGAUGACGGCCUUCGGGUUGUAAACCGCUUUCGCCUGUGACGAAGCGUGCGUGACGGUAAUGGGUAAAGAAGCACCGGCUAACUACGUG